rnacentral:rRNA from 1 species
AGUGAACGCUGGCGGUAGGCCUAACACAUGCAAGUCGAACGGCAGCACAGUAAGAGCUUGCUCUUACGGGUGGCGAGUGGCGGACGGGUGAGGAAUACAUCGGAAUCUACUUUUUCGUGGGGGAUAACGUAGGGAAGCUUACGCUAAUACCGCAUACGACCUACGGGUGAAAGCAGGGGAUCUUCGGACCUUGCGCGAUUGAAUGAGCCGAUGUCGGAUUAGCUAGUUGGCGGGGUAAAGGCCCACCAAGGCGACGAUCCGUAGCUGGUCUGAGAGGAUGAUCAGCCACACUGGAACUGAGACACGGUCCAGACUCCUACGGGAGGCAGCAGUGGGGAAAUUGGACAAUGGGCGCAAGCCUGAUCCAGCCAUACCGCGUGGGUGAAGAAGGCCUUCGGGUUGUAAAGCCCUUUUGUUGGGAAAGAAAAGCAGCAGGUUAAUACCCCGCUGUUCUGACGGUACCCAAAGAAUAAGCACCGGCUAACUUCGUG